rnacentral:lncRNA from 1 species
CAAAAAAUUUCAAACCCUAGGAUUCUCGAUUCCUCCUCCAAAUCCGUCUUCCAUGGCGAUAUCGGCUCCAGCCGCUUGUUCCUCUUCAUCUAGAAUCCUCUGUUCCUACUCCGCACCUUCUCCUUCUCUUUAUCCCGCACCUGUUUCCGCCAUUUCCACCUCUGGCAAGCUCAAAACCCUAACUCUCUCUUCCUCUUUCCUCCCUUCUUACUCACUGACCACUACCUCCGCUUCUCAAUCCACUCGUCGUUCCUUCACUGUACGUGCCGCUCGUGGUAAGUUCGAGAGGAAGAAGCCUCAUGUCAACAUCGGUACGAUUGGUCAUGUUGACCAUGGGAAGACCACUCUAACCGCAGCU